UGGUUCUGGCACCGAUGAAGAACGCAGCGAAAUGCGAUAAGUAAUGCGAAUUGCAGAGUCCAGCGAGCCAUCGAGUCUUUGAACGCACAUUGCGCCCGCCGGCAUCCCGGCGGGCACGCCCGUCCGAGAGUCGCUAAACACCCAUCGGGCCCCCGCGCCCGGCGAUGGGGCGCCGCGCGUAGCCGCGGGCCCCUAAAGACAGCGGCGGAACCCAUCGCGUCGAGGCCCAGCAACCUGGGGCCGGCGCGCCUGGCGACCUCCUUAGCGACCACUGUUGACCUCGGAUCGGGCGGGAAUACCCGCUGA
rnacentral:misc_RNA from 1 species